rnacentral:rRNA from 1 species
GAUGAACGCUGGCGGCGUGCCUAAUACAUGCAAGUCGAGCGAACAGACGAGGAGCUUGCUCCUCUGACGUUAGCGGCGGACGGGUGAGUAACACGUGGAUAACCUACCUAUAAGACUGGGAUAACUUCGGGAACCCGGAGCUAAUACCGGAUAAUAUAUUGAACCGCAUGGUUCAAUAGUGAAAGACGGUUUUGCUUUCACUUAUAGAUGGAUCCGCGCCGCAUUAGCUAGUUGGUAAGGUAACGGCUUACCAAGGCAACGAUGCGUAGCCGACCUGAGAGGGUGAUCGGCCACACUGGAACUGAGACACGGUCCAGACUCCUACGGGAGGCAGCAGUAGGGAAUCUUCCGCAAUGGGCGAAAGCCUGACGGAGCAACGCCGCGUGAGUGAUGAAGGUCUUCGGAUCGUAAAACUCUGUUAUUAGGGAAGAACAAAUGUGUAAGUAACUAUGCACGUCUUGACGGUACCUAAUCAGAAAGCCACGGCUAACUACGUG